rnacentral:rRNA from 1 species
AAAGGAGACAUGAUUUGAAAAAGUUAUAAAUGAUAUUAAUAUUAAUAUAUGGAAACUCAUAAAUUAUAUAUAUAUAAUAUAUAUAUAAGACUUAUGUUAUAGAAAGGAUAAAUUAGUUUGGCAUAAGCCGAUCCUAACUAGAAAUAGUAAAUAAAAAAGUAUGUGAAUUGAAACAUCUUAGUAACAUAUGUAAAAACCAAUAGGGAUAACAGUAGUAUCGGUGAGAGAAUCUGUUGUUGUAUACAAGUAAUACUUAGAAGUAUGAAUAAAGUAGUAUCUACUACUAAUACAUAAACUAUAACAUAAAGUUAAAAGUACUGUAAAGGAAAGAGUUAAAAAAUCAAAUUAUAUAAUAAAAAUAUAUAUAAGAGAUAAAAAGAAAUAUAUUAAUAAAGAGCAACUAUAGUAUAGUGUACCUCUUGUAUAAUGGGUCAGUGAGUUAUUUUUAUAAGCGAAAUAAGAAUUAUAUAUAAUAAGAUAAAGUUUAUAGGAAUAGACCCGAAAGCACAUGAUCUAUAUAUGUAUAGAUAUAUAUUUAAAAUAAAUAUAUGAUCAAAUAGGUAGAUGUAGCAAUAUCUUCUAAAGAUAUGUGUAUAGUAGUGAAAGGCAAAACUGAUGUGCAGAUAGCUGGUUAUCUACGAAAUAUAUGUUAGUAUAGCCCUUAUAAUAGCGUAAACCCUGGUAAAGCACUUAAUACCAUAUGGGAAUAAAUUUAUUUACUAUAUGUAUUAAACCUCUGAACAGGAGUGAUAUGACAUAUAAGGAGUCAGACUUAUUGCGAUAAGGUAAUAAGUCGAAAAGGGAAUAACCUAGACUAUUAAAUGAAGGUCCCAAAUCCUCAUUAAGUGAAUACAAUCCUAUGAGUAGAUAAAUACCUCAAUAUAUUCCAUAAAGGAAUAAUUUUGAUCAGACAAUUAGUCAGUGGGUUUGAUAAUAAUCACCUGUUAAAGAACAUGUAAAAAUGCACUAAUAGAAUUUAUAUCAAAAAAAGAUAUAUAAAUCAAAAGAUAGGAACAAAUAUACGGGUCUAAAUGUAGGAACCGAAUAAUAGAUAUAAUAAAAAAUAUUAUAUAGUAGUAGAUUAUAUAGUGAUAAUAACUAUAAAGACAAUGCUGACUUGAGUAACGAUAGGUAAUUAAGGAUUACCCCUACAAAACACAAGGUUUAACUAUAAAUUAACGGUAUCUAAGUAUAUAUAUGAAGAUAUAUAUAUGAUGAUAGAUAGUACAGGAAAAUGUAGUAACCGUACCGCAGUCCGACCCAGGUGUGUAAAUGAUAAAAAAUAAUCAUAAUAUAAAUCUUAUAACUAAUAAGAAAGAUAUUGAGUAGGAAUGGGUGAAGUAUCAUAAAUGAACUCGGCAAAUAAGGCAAGGCCUGAAUAGUACGACUGUUUACCAAAAACACAGCUUACUGCAAAUAGGAAACUAUCGGUAUAGUAAGUGAUAUCUGUCCGGUGUAAGUUAGAUAAAUAAAUAAUUGACUUAUAAACGACGGUCUUAUCAUGAGGAUCUGAAAGUAGCAAAAUUCAUUGGCAUAUAAUUGGUGUCCCGCAUGAAUGAUUAUACGAUACUAUAGCUGUAUCUAUGGUAUACCCAGUGAAAUAGUAAUCGCAGUGAAGAUACUGUGUAGUCAUAGAUUGACAAAAAGACCCUAUGCAGCUUUACUAUAUUCUUAUACUGUUAUAUAUAUAUAUAUUUAAAUUAAAUAUUUUUAUUUAUAUGUUUAUUUCUUUAUAUAUAUAACUAACCUUUAUUAAGGUACCAUAUAAGAUGGUUAGUUUCGAUGGGGCGUCGGCAUCACAAAACAUAACUGAUGUGUCUAAAUGAUAUUUUAUAUUCCCUUAUAUUUUAUUACUUUUUAGUUUUAUUUAUAAGGCCAUCAUCUUUUUAAGAUAAUAAUAGAAUAAAUAAGUACAGAUACACUAGUUGGCAACUAGUAUUAAUUAAUAUAAUAUUAUUUAUUAUAUUAUUCCUCAUUUUUGAUGUGGAAUCAUAUAUGUAAUACAUAUAUAAUUAAUUUUAUUUAUAAGGAUAAUAACAUAACUGUGCUAUGAUAAUGACACAUACUUGUGGAAUUAGUACUUAAGUAUAGUAUAUUGAACAGGCAAUAUCAUUAGAAUUGAGUGUCGAUUACGGAUUAAAGUUACGCUAGGGAUAUUAAGUUGUCCCCGUAUAUCGUGAGAUAUACUUAAUUAAUAGGGUUAAUUACAAAGAUAUCUUAUUUUCAUAAGACAAUUUGUAGCGAAGUAUAUAUUAGUAUUUAUAUAUAUAUAAACGUUCAACGACUAAAAGAUGAGUUUACUAACAAUAAUUCUUUCAUGAAAGCCCUACACCUAAUUUAAUUUUAGGUGAUGACAUAGUCUAAUCUAUAUAGUGAUAUAUAGAUAUAUAUAUUAAAUAAUAUAUAUGUUAAUAAUAAAUGAACAGGGUAAUAUCGCUAGAGAGUUGAUAUCGUCAGCGAUGUUUGCCACCUCGAUUAAAGAUAGUCGAGUAUAAAUAGGGUGAAUUGCAAGAAAAUCUAAGUAUAUAUAUAUAUAUAUGAUAAUUUGCAGCGAAGUUAUGUUAAAAACAUAAAACGUUCAACGACUAGAAAGAAUAAUAUCUUUCCAAGAGAGCCCUAAAUUUACAGUAUAUAAAUAUAUAAAUAUAUAUAUAUUAUAAGAAUUGUAAAUUAUGACAUAGUCUAAACUAUAAUGAAAAUUAUAGAAAUAUAUUUUAAUAAAAUAUAUGUUAAUAAAAUUGGUCGUCUAGACUUAUCCUAUUGGUCGUAGAAGCUAAUAAGGGUACGACUGUUCGUCGUUUAAAAAGUUACUUGAGAUGGGUUAAUUACGACGUGAGUCAGUAAUGAUUUUAUCAUCUAUGACGUUAAUAGUAAUAUGUAAUUAUAUGUGUACGAAAGGAUUAUAUAAUAUAGUUCAAUGGUGAAGAGCUUUUGAUUCUUAGCUAAAACUAUAAAGGAUAAAUAUUGAUAGCUUAUUAAAUAUUAAGCCUUACAUAUUCACUAUAUAAACAUUAAAGAUAAUAAUGUAAUAGUAAUAUAUCUAUGCUUUAUUCUUAUAUAAGAAUAUAGAGGAUAUAAUAAACUAAUAAAUAUAAUCAUUUAUAAUAACAAAUCAUGUCAAAUUAUUUAUAUAUAUUUAUACUAUAUAUUAUUUAUAUUUAAUUAUAUAUAUUAUACAUAUAUUUUUAUAUAAAAAUAUAAAAGUUAGUUA